rnacentral:rRNA from 1 species
CGCUGGUUUACCAAAAACAUCGCCUCUUGAAGUAACAUCAUAAGAGGUCCCGCCUGCCCAGUGAUAUAUGUUUAACGGCCGCGGAUCUUGCCGUGCAAAGGUAGCGCAAUCACUUGUCUUUUAAAUGAGGACCCGUAUGAAUGGCCUAACGAGGGCUCUACUGUCUCCUCUUUCCAGUCAAUGAAAUUGAUCUCCCCGUGCAGAAGCGGAGAUAUUAACAUAAGACGAGAAGACCCUAUGAAGCUUUAGACAUCAAGACAGACUAUUCUACUUUUUUCCCCCGCUUGAAGGGGUCAAACCCUAUAGCCCCUGUCCUUAAUGUCUUUGGUUGGGGUGACCCUGGAGAAUAAAACAACCUCCAUGUGGAAUGGGGGAACAACAUAUUUUUUGCCCCUACAGCCAAGAGCCCCCGCUCUAAGCAACAGAAAUUUUGACCACAGAUGAUCCGGCAGCGCCGAUCAACGAACCGAGUUACUCUAGGGAUAACAGCGCAAUCCCCUUCUAGAGCCCCUAUCGACAAGGGGGUUUACGACCUCGAUGUUGGAUCAGGACAUCUAAUGGUGCACCGCUAUUAAGGGUUCGUUUGUCAACGAUUAAAGUCUCAUCUGAGUUCAAACCGGGS